UUUUUUUUUUUUUUUUUGUCUUUUUAGGGCUGCACCCAGGGCAUAUGGAUGUUCCCAGGCUAGGGGUCGAAUUAGAGCUACAGCUGCCGGCCUACACCACAGCUCAUGGCAACGCCAGAUCCUUAACCCACUGAGUCAGGCCAGGGAUGGAACACGCCGUCUCAUGGUUCCUAGUCGGAUUCGUUUCCACUGUGUCAAGACGGGAAGUCCUCUAAUGCAUUUUCCAUUCCACCAUAGCUCUUAUACUACAUAAGAAAUUCUGAUAUUCUAAGGGCAUAGCACCUCCGUGCAGCAUGUGGCACACUCAACCAAAACGAGGAUGGGCUGCUGCUGAGUGCCUAGGCCGCAUGGCCUGUCCUGAGGUCUGCUUCUUUUAGAAAACAAGAAUCUUCCAAAUUUCCAAAAAAAAAAGAACAAAACUUCCCAUCAUGGCUCAGCGGUUAACGAGCCCAACCAGCCUCCAUGAGGAGGUGGGUUCAAUCCCUAGCCUUGCUCAGUGGGUUAAGGAUAAGCUGCCGUGAGCUGGGGUUGCAGAUGCAGCUUGGAUCCCUGCGUUGCUCUGUUUGCGGUGUAGGCCAGCAGCUGCAACUCUGAUUGGACCCCUAGCCUGGGAACCUCCAUAUGCUAUAGAUGUGGCCCUAAAAAAGGCAAAAAGGCAAAAAGGCAAAAAAAAAAAAAAAAAUCUUCCAAAUGUCCACCACUGAAGGCUCGAUCUGCUGAACUGCUUUAAAUCUGCCUCAGCAGAGGCUGGGGCCUCUGGAAGUACAAAAGAGUCAUAACCACUUCUUUUGCCUAAAUGUUAAGAUUUAAAAAAGAAAAAGAAAGAAAGAAAGAAGGAAGGGAGGGAGGGAGGGAGGAAGGAAGGAAGGAAGGAAAGAAAGAAAGAAAGAAAGAAAGAAAGAAAGAAAGAAAGAAAGAAAGAAAGAAAGAAAGAAAGAAAGAGAAAAGAAAAGAACAAACAGGUUUAUGUGAAAACAAGGAAAAUACCAAAGUGAGUGGUAGGGAGCUCUUGACUGGAGUGUAGAGAGAAGUAAUCUCUGUUGCCAGGUUUCCUAGGGAGUAAUGCAUUUGAAAACUGGAAGAUCAGCCUUGAUAACUGCUUUCUAAAGGCUUUUAGUGGCAUCUCUGUGACAGCAAGGGGCCUAGGUGACCUGUUUCAGGACUUUGGGGUUCCCAAAGGAGGCCCUCAGCCGAGAAUGAGAACAAAAAGCUCCAGGAAGGCAGGGGUCUUGUUUUCUAGUCAGUAUUGCCACCUCUCGAGGACCCAGCUUUGGGUACAGAAUCCUUGGAACCCCAUCUCUAACUCAUGCAUGUAGAACCAGGUGAAACUGUCUACAUUUUCUGGUGGUUCUCCUUGGAGCCAAAAAAGGAUCAGUACUAUUUUCCUCAGAGAUACCAUUCCUGGAUUCAAGAAGCCUGAGAACCACUGCAGAUUCCUGGGCAGUGAGGGGUCUUGUUUCUUGCCCAGCAGUCAUGUCAAUCAAGGCUUGGGAGAAUGAGCUAGUAUUUACUGAGCACCUCCAUGGCCCAGCCCCUGUGCCAGACGUUACCAUACACUUUAUCUCAUUUAAUUCACUGCUGCUACUCUAGGAGGCAGGUAUUAUACCCACUUUAUAGAUAAGAAAACGAAGGCUCAGAGAGGUUCAGUAGUUCUUCCAAGGGCACACAGCCAAUAAGUGGCGGGGUCUGGAUUCAAACCUAGGUCUGACUCCAACCUUUGCCUCUUCCUUUCCUUUUCUCAACCUCCCCUCACCUGACAUCCAUUUUAAAAAAUGUGUAUUGAGCACCUACUAUGUCCCCACGUUCUGGUACCUGCAGCAGCAAACAAGACAGGCAAGGUUCCUGCCUUCACGGCACGUAUACCCUAGAGUGGGGGAGAUGGACAAUAAGAAGGAAACAAAUAAGCAGGGUAAUUUUGAUACUGAUAAGCACUACGAAGAAAAAUCAAGCCAGGUAAAUGGGGAGAGGAUGACUGAGCAGGUGGAGGUGGCUGAGGAAGGCCUCCAAGAGGAUUUAAUUGAGCUGAGAUCUUAAUUAGGAUCUUUUUUAAAAAGCUCCUUCUGUGUUUCCCACAUGUAGCCUGAGAGAUGCAUUUGACUUUUGUCUUUAUUCCUCCCAGGCCCCCAUCAGCAGAGAUUGCAAAGUACAUAUUUUCUUUUCUUUUUUUUUUUUGGCUAGAAAGGCUUGCAAAACCCACUGAUAAGGUUACCCGUUCACACCAGGAGAGAGGAUUUCAAAGCAGUGAACAGACCUGCUCAGCCUUACAAACACCAUAUAAAACGACUUGGGUCCUGGAGCUCAUUCAUCCUACGGAUCCAAGGAGCUGCCACCCCAUAAACACUCCUCGGGUUUGCAUUAAUCAGGCAGCUCAACGUAGGUUUUCUUUUCAUUUUUCUAGGUCUGUGAUGAUGGAUGAUGUGCAGUGGCACUUCUGGAUUAAUAAUAAGGAGCUGGUGGUGUUUUCUCACUCCUACGAGACUAAAUUUCAUGGGACAUUUAGGACAUCUUCCUCGACAGGGCUGAGCCGAAGCUCUGUGUUCUUGAAAGGAUUAUUGCAGCCCUAUUACAAAGAUAACCUAACCACACGGGAGAGAGUAAAACAUCAAGCCAUUUGAUUUCAAAACCCUGAAACAGAAUACCAAAGAAUAAUUAACUAUGGAAACCCAAAAGCUCUAAUCUUGAUGAACUGAUGGGACAGACUAGGAGAGAGAGAAAACACAGAUCUUCGAGGCUCACAGGCUUCUGAAUUGUUUGAAUGAUCAGAAUCAAAGCUCACGCAGGCCUUCAGUGGGCUUGAUACUGAGCCUUCUCCUCCCACCUCGCUCACAUCCACACACCCCACUCCCAAGUCACUGAAUGCACCUGUCCCAGCUCUGCUGCUCUGGCUUCUAAUAAGAACAGAAUUGUCUCCUCCUCAGCUGGCUGCCUGGUCCAGAUCUGGGCUUCCUGCUGGGGCCUGUAAACUUGCCGCAGGAUGGAGCCAGCUCCUGCCGAGCCGGCAAAACAGACCCUUUCACGGAAGGGAGACAGAUGGACUGACGGCCGGUGACAGGUGAUUCGAUAAAACCUUCACAAAAUUCCUCUUCCCUGUAUUUGCUUUUGAGGUGCAACUAUAGGUGAUGGUGGUUCACGGGGGCUCUUUCAUAAAUCUCAAAGACAGACCGUUUCAGACACUGCCUGCAAAAGAAAGGCCUUGGUGAGAUUUCUGUCACCGACAGCCGUAUAUUCUGUUUAAAGGAGAAAACCACCGUAUUUUCCCAAUUUUGAACACAGUGGCUGAAAAAAAAUUGCAUGAAAGGAUCUCAGUUUAGCUGGCAGGGGUGGGGGUGGGAUGAGGGUGGGGGCCAGGGUGAGGGUCUUCUCCUGCUGCUGUUAAUAAAAUCACACCCCAUCUUGGGGGCCUUUUCUAAGGAGGGCAGCUUCUACUCAACCUGCUGACCCAAGAAGCUGCUCUUUUUGUCUUUCUUUUUCUGGACAAGAAGAGGAAGAAAUUCUUCUUUCACCAUGGACCUGGUGUUCCAUUCAUGGACCUGAGAAAAAUGUGAUAACCGUUCAGUCCCAGAUCUGACUCCAGGCCUGGCUGGUACCACUUAAAAUGAAUCAAAGAGAUGAGCCUCAUUAGCUGGAAUUCAACGGCCCCCCUCUUGGAUGGGAAGUCGCUGAGUGAGAGAGUUACAUUCAAGGGUGAUGAAAGGGGGUCAAGGAUGGAAAUGAUGCAAAAGGGAAAAUGUAUAUGCACAGAGUUUCCUGCGUGAUUAGCUACGGCUAUUUAAACCAUUACAAGUUUAAACCCUCUUGAGGUCAGGGAAAGAACCAGUGGAAAAAUCAGAGGCAGAUUCCUUCUUUUCCUAGGAUAAACCCAGCACAAUUUUAAAAUGCAAAGCAUCUCUAAACAGCUAUUUGAUUAGGGUUUUUUUUUCCAACUAGGCUAUGAUAAUUAGCAAAUGCCUGGGAGAUGAGAUUUAAAUAUGCCAAUCAGUCCAUCUCAAGAGUUUAGCAGGAACAAUGUGGAAUGUAAUUAUCUUUAAGUGAUAACCACUUUGGUGGGGUUACAGCCUUAACUAGCGACCUGAAAUCCAAUAGAUGACCUCUCCCCGUGCCUGGAGCAGCAGCUUUCCCACUUUGGGGAAAAAAAAAAAAAAGCAAUGCCAAGUGUUAUCUGGAAAGUCCACGGGUGUGACCUUUAAAGAGAAGGAUUUUGAGUACUUCUGGUGAAAACUCUGCCACCAUUUCUUCCACUAAUGGGGCACUUUCAAAAGCAGCAGGGUGAUGGAGACGGCCUGACUUCAGAGAGGUGCAAACAGACUACCUGAAAUACCUAAUUCCUCCCUUUCUCCAUCAGUGACCAUUUCUUAGUUUGGAAAGCAUCAAAAACCUAAAGAUCCACAACUUCUGGCUUCUCCCGCAGUCCGGAGGGAUGUGCAAAAUAGGUCCCACAGUAGAGACUGGUCUAUAAUGGGACAGAAAGCUACCUGAGAGAGGAGAGGGGGAUGCAGUUAACUGUUUGGGAGUGUUUUCCCAUCUUGCUGCAGGGGCACAUGUUUUUCUGUCUUGCUACAUUGCGAACUACUCUGGUUAAAACCAAGUCUUUUCAAAGACCCAAGCUCUCGUCACACAGGGUCCCUUCUUCACCCCACAAGCUGGGCUUGACAAUCUCUAAAAACAGUUUUUUUUAGAAUAUUGUGAUGGCAAAAUGGCUAAGCUCGAGGAAGGUUUCACUUUUUAGCCCAUAACUACAGAAACAUGCCUGUCUUGGGCACAAAAGGACAUUACCAGGCAGCAGGACAAAAGUGAAUAACACUGAUAAUCCUCCCCUUGUGAUAGGUUUUAUAAUUAAAGAUUACUGCAAGGACAACAGAUCCCAACGCAAAUGGGAAUACUGGAAACUCGACCGCCUCUCUGCUUCUGCGUCACCAAGUCCCCUCCUGUCUACACAGGGGCCUGCACUUCCACGGACUAGAGAAGGCUGUAAUUAACCACCUGCCAGUGUCGCUGGCUAUAACUCCAACCAGGCCAGCACUUUCUUGACUAGGUUCUCGCAAGUGAUAAUUAAAUCCAUCGGCCUCGCUUGUGCGGUCUGCUUGUAACAGAGCCAUUCAGACAUACGCUGGCGUGUCUAACAGUGACGGAUUCUCCAAGCGCCCUGGCUGGUGCCUAGGUUGCCAGCACUCUAAUCACAAGAUAAGCAUCUCCUUACGUGAGUGCCUUGAGUCACAGCCUCUGCCCCGUGAGCCUUUGCUGCUUCUUUUAAUUGAACAACGUUUUGCAAUUUCAGCUCCAUCUAUCAGGCACUUUCGCAGUCUGCUAAUAGAGUUUCAGAAUCCUAUUCCCCAGUCUAUAGCCAGGCCGAGAAAUCUUCCGUCAUUCCUCCAAGUCCAAGAACACUUCAGAUGUCCUCUGAACGUAACGUCAACGUGGUCCACCAUCAGCUGCCGAUCUGAGAACGUGCCAGCAAGGGCUUUAAUUCAUAAUUAGAUAUUGGCCAGACAAAUUACCCGCAACAGUACCUUUGCCUACCACCAUCAGGCAGGAGAAUGAUGUUCAGUGUGGGGAUACAUGGAAAGGGAGAGCUCUCCUGGGAGGAAAUGUUUUGCAAAGUCUAUUUCCUUGACAACUUUUCCAAGUGAAAGGUACUACUGUAGGUUUUUUUCCCCCCAUGGUUUUGAACAAUUCUGGUGUCUAAAAAUCAACAUUGUCAAACGCCCUAAUGUGAAAAAUAGAGAUUUAAAUAGAAGCAGAAAAAAAAAAUUAGGCUUCCAGAGCUGAACAUUUUAAAAGCUAGGGAUUCACACACUGCCUUUUUUUUGGUGGGGGGGAUGAUAAUGAGCAGAUGAUGGGCAGCAUUUAGUGGUCGCCACUAGGAAUUAGUUACACAGGUGACCAUGGAGAAGACAGUGGAGGACAGAUGGGCUGCCAUGCUGGACCCCUCUAUUUGGAAUUGGAGGACUAACCUAGUCUCUAUGGGGAGUGCAGUCUAGACCCCAAUCAUCUGCUUCCAGGGGUUUAAAGAAACUCCAAGAACAACCCAAUCAGCCUCAGGACUAAGUUAUGUUCCUUUAAAAUCACACAAUCCCUGAUUUUCUGAGGCAGGCCCAAUUUCAAAUAUUCUACUCCAUUAUCAGACAACGUGUCAGACACCACGUUCUAAGUUUUUAUGUGGAAAAUGGUCUUAUGGAGUUGGUGGGCCUCCCAUGUGUGGGCAGAACUGCACUCCUUGGGUCAGGAGAGAAGGGUGGUAUAAGAAUGGUACCAUUCUCUGCUCAAGCUGACCCUCUCCCCUGUCAAUGGGAUUUUCAGCUCCAACUCAAUACAGCUCAUAGCAAAUCAGGACACUUUUGAACAUACCCAUCUACCCAUUCGAUCCUUCCAGACAUCUACCCAAUAUUAAACACUGCCCAUUUGCCAAGAACCAUGCUAGAUAUCAGGGCUACAGAGGGACAGGAUACGCCUACUGGGAAAUCAUAUUUUUUUAAUAUAAUGAUUUUUAUUUUUUCCCAUUAUAGCUGGUUUACAGUGUUCUGUCAAUUUUCUACUGGACAGCAUGGUGACCCAGUUACAUAUCCAUGUAUACAUUCUUUUUCCUCACAUUAUUAUGCUCCAUUAUAAGUGACCAGAGAUAGUUCCCAGUGCUACAGAGCAGGAUCUCAUUGCUAAUCCAUUCCAAAAGCAAUAGUCUGCAUCUAUUAACUUCAAGCACCCCAUCUAUCCCACUCCCUCCCACUUGCCCUUAGCAACCACAAGUCUAUUCUGCAAGUCCAUGAUUUUCUUUCCUGUGGAAAGCUUCAUUUGUGCCAUAUAUUAGAUUCCAGACAUAAGUGAUAUCAUAUGGUAUUUGUCUUUCUCUUUCUGACUUACUUCACUCAGUAUGAGAGUCUCUAGUUCCAUCCAUGUUGCUGCAAAUGGCAUUAUUUUGUUCUUUUUUAUGGCUGAGUAGUAUUCCAUUGUGUAUAUAUACCACAUCUCCCUAAUCCAAUCAUCUGAUGAUGGACAUUUGGGUUGUUUCCAUGUCUUGGCUAUUGUGAAUAGUGCUGCAAUGAACAUGCGGGUGCAUGUGUCUUUUUUAAGGAAAGUUUUGUCCGGAUAUAUGCCCAAGAGUGGGUCAUAUGGUAGUUCUACGUAUAGUUUUCUAAGGUACCUCCAAACAGUUCUCCAUAGUGGUUGUACCAGCUUACAUUCCCACCAAUAGUACAGGUGGGUUCCCUUUUCUCCCAGUAUUUGUUAUUUGUGGACUUAUUAAUGAUGGCCAUUCUGACUGGUGUGAGGUGGUAUCUCAUGGCAGUUUUGAUUUGCAUUUUUCUAAUAAUCAGUGAUGUUGAGCAUUUUUUCAUGUGCUUGUUGGCCAUCUGUAUAUCUUCCUUGGAGAAACGUCUAUUCAGGUCUUUUGCCAUUUUUCAAUUCGGUUGUUGGCUUUUUUGCUGUUGAAUUUUGGAAAUGGUAAUUUUUUUAAAGCAAGGUUCUUAAUUUGGGGUUUAUGGAUGGAAUGGGAGUCCAUGAACCCCUUGAAACUGAACAUAAAACUUCAUGUUUAUGGAGUUCUCGUCAUGGCUCAGUGGUUAGCGAAUCCAAGUAGGAACCAUGAGGUUUCGGGUUCUGGCCUUGCUCGGUGGGUUAAGGAUCCGGCAUUGCCGUGAGCUGUGGUGUAGGUCACAGACACAUCUCGGAUCUCGAGUUGCUGUGGCUCUGGUGUAGGCUGGUUGCUACAGCUCCGGUGCGACUCCUAGCCUGGGAACCUCCAUAUGCUGCAGGUGCAGCCCUAGAAAAGAUUAAAAAAAAAAAAAAAAA
rnacentral:lncRNA from 1 species